CAUUGUCCAGAAACCCUAAUGUUCUGUUGCUAUAUAAAUGGAGCAGAAAAUGCUACGCUCAUCUUCAAGGCUUCAGAGACGACGCUCCGUGCCAAACUGAAAUGAAAUCCCAUUUUAUGAUUUUGAUUUUUGAAUUCGAUACUUAGCAUCACGAAAUGGUCUCUGUUUGAUUGUUUUGAAUGUGGUUGUUGUUUGUUUCUUUCUUUCUUUCGAAUAAGAAUUGUGUUAAGGCAUCGAAUCAUGAACCUCUCUGCUCAUCAAUGGCAUAGAGACUACGAAGAGAUGCGAAAUCAAACCUGAAAGGGUAGCACUUUUGGACUGGCAGACUCGCAUCCUCAAAUGGGUUCUGACCUUUUCUCCUGACUUCUUUUUCCCCUGGUACGACACAUUAGAAUUUUACCGGGCACCAUGGUAUUAUAUAUAUAUUGAGCAGUAAUUCCCUGCAUUUGGACUUAAGAAGAAUUGGUUGGUCUCUUGAGUCUUGACUUCUGAGAACUGCAAUGUGCAACAGGAAACUGUGAGGUGAAAUUGGUCGAGCUUGCUGCAACAACUUAGUGACAUUUUUGUCCCAUCACAGUUAGAAACUUAGAAGCUAUAGUUUGUAGUCAAAUUAUGUGUAUUUCUUGGUAGAAGGUACACAUCAAUUGCAAACUAUUACGUUUUUGUUUAUUCUGGUUCAAACUUUUGAGUAUUGUAAUUAUCAUACGGUCAGUACAUUUUGAUUGUAUGAUUACAAUACAAAUAGGCAUUUAAUCAUGCAUCUAGACUUGUAUUACUCCUGUAUGCAUCCAAACAUUGCUACUGUAAAACUUGUGGAACGAUUGAUCCUUUUUAUGAAUUUAUGAAUUUGGUCCAAGGA